UACGUAGGUGGCGAGCGUUGUCCGGAUUUACUGGGCGUAAAGGGAGCGUAGGCGGACUUUUAAGUGAGAUGUGAAAUACCCGGGCUUAACUUGGGUGCUGCAUUUCAAACUGGAAGUCUAGAGUGCAGGAGAGGAGAAUGGAAUUCCUAGUGUAGCGGUGAAAUGCGUAGAGAUUAGGAAGAACACCAGUGGCGAAGGCGAUUCUCUGGACUGUAACUGACGCUGAGGCUCGAAAGCGUGGGGAGCAAACAGGAUUAGAUACCCUGGUA
rnacentral:rRNA from 1 species